rnacentral:rRNA from 1 species
AUGUGGACCCAUCUUUGUCAGCACUAUGAACCAUCUGGUGAUGCCCUAUACCUUUCUGUGGUCCGUCAGGAGCAUGCCCUUCAGCAGGGUGAUUCUACUGUUGAUGACUUCUAUGCACAGAGCUCUGCUAUCUGGCGUCAGCUUGAUUCUCUCCGCAUUGCUGGUUGUCGUACUUGCCCCUAUUGCCAGGUUGUCCAGGCCAAUUUGGAGUUUCAUCGCGUCUACGAGUUCCUGUAUCGGCUCCGUAAGGAGUUUGAGCCCCGGCUUGCUCAGUUGUUUGCUCGUGGCCGUAUUUCUCUCAUGGAGGCAUCUGAGAUUCGUGCCGAGGAGACUCGCUUACGUGGUGCUGGUUUGGUGGAGGCUCCCUCUGUGCUCGCUACUCGGUCUUAUUCCACGCCACCUGCUGCACCGACCCCCAUCCACAUUGCGACUACUGCAACAAUGAUGGUCAUAUUGAGUCCCGGUGCUACACGAAGAGGAAACACCUGCGCAAGGCGCGAUCAUCAUCUUCAGGGACUUCAUCAUCUCCCUCAACAGCUUCGGCCAUUGCUUUGA